rnacentral:lncRNA from 1 species
UUUCCUUGCAGUUUUUCCAUUUGAGGUUCUCUCACUUGUUAAUUUUUGCUUGUGUUGCUUGUGAGGAUCACAAUUUGGUGGCAUGGAUUUUGUGAGGUUUCAUCUCAAAUUUCAUCUCCUCCUGAAAGCCUCCAAUUCCAUGCAGCUUUCGCCAAGAUGGAACUAAUUUUCUUCUAUUCAGAACUAUAACGUGG